rnacentral:rRNA from 1 species
GACGAACGCUGGCGGCGUGCCUAAUACAUGCAAGUAGAACGCACAGUUUAUACCGUAGCUUGCUACACCAUAGACUGUGAGUUGCGAACGGGUGAGUAACGCGUAGGUAACCUGCCUGGUAGCGGGGCAUAACUAUUGGAAACGAUAGCUAAUACCGCAUAAUAUUAAUUAUUGCAUGAUAAUUAAUUGAAAGGUGCAAUUGCACCACUACCAGAUGGACCUGCGUUGUAUUAGCUAGUAGGUGAGGUAACGGCUCACCUAGGCGACGAUACAUAGCCGACCUGAGAGGGUGAUCGGCCACACUGGGACUGAGACACGGCCCAGACUCCUACGGGAGGCAGCAGUAGGGAAUCUUCGGCAAUGGACGAAAGUCUGACCGAGCAACGCCGCGUGAGUGAAGAAGGUUUUCGGAUCGUAAAGCUCUGUUGUAAGAGAAGAACGGGUGUGAGAGUGGAAAGUUCACACUGUGACGGUAUCUUACCAGAAAGGGACGGCUAACUACGUG